CCAUCUCCGACGGAGCCUAAACCAACACCACAAACACGCAGCUCUCCGAAAGCUAUCAUCACUCUCAAUCUCAAUUUCGGUGCAUCCACUUCGAUCUCUCGUCUUUCUUGAUCUCUGAUUUCGUUUGAUUCCUUCUUUGUCUUCUCUUUUGAAUCGUGAUAUUCCCGUUAUCGCAGAUGAUGAGGAUACGAUGAAGAUGAAGCGUUGUUGUUGAAGAUUGUAUGAAGCGGUUGUGACGCGAUGAUGAAUCGUGAUGAUGAAGAUUGAGCAACGAAGAACGAUUCUUGGCGAUUGAAGAAGAACUCCGAUGGAGAUUUUGCGGUUCACACAUCAAGUUAUAUGUAAGCCAUUUGGUGUAGGCAUAGCAAGGUGCAUAGUGAGCAAUAUGGUGAGGAGUGACGUCGAAUCAAUGUCGUUACGUUAUCAGAAUGAGCUGAACCAGAGUAAAGGCAAAAGGGGAAUGGUUUUAGUCUGAAUACAGUGGUAGUUCCUACUUCUGUCCAACUUGAGGUGGAUUGAAAAUGAGCUUGAAAGCUUGAAGAAGUGUGGUGUUGUUCAAGAAAAAACAUGGUGACUUGAAGUUAAGGUGUGAAAGCUAUGAAGUUGAUGAAGAAUAAAAUUAGCAUGAAGAAGAUUCCAUGGAGGCUUGCUUGUCUUUCUUUUUGUGAUGAUAGGGAUGUACUAAUUCUCAUAGUUUAUGUUGAAUUCAUGAUGUGGAAUGUAUGUAAUUGGGAUUUGUAAUAGGGUUUGAACUUUGAUGUAAUAUGAGAUGGGUGUUUGAACUAGUAACGGUUUAUGAUAUUUAUGUAAACAUUUUCAUGGUUUCUGUUGGACUAACUCAUGAAGGCCUCCACAUGCUUUAUUUUAUGAAUGGAAAGUUUGGAUUGAACUUGUUUUAUAAUGUAUAUUUGGACUUUUUGUUGAAUGAAGCUUAGCUCAUAAUUAGAAACCCCCUUGAAUUUCAUUCAUAUCUCUGUGCAUCAAAUAGAGUUUGUAGCUUAGUCCUUGAAUGUAUGUAUCCCCCACUUGAUGUUAGAGGUUGUUUUCUUUUCAUGCAUCAAUGAGCACCAUUCUCUAACGUGAUCACGAUCCACAUGAGUCAUAAUGAGAUCUUAUCCAAGGACCAUUUAGUUACAACAUAGGUCCAAAGGUUUCAAGACACACAACGAACCAUCUUUCGACUUAAAAUUAUCAGAAUUAACACCUUGAUCACCACCGCGAUGAAUAUAACCAUGAGGAA